AUACAUGCAGUCGAACGGUUGGUAGCAAUACCAAUAGUGGCGCACGGGUGCGUAACGCGUAACCAACCUACCCGAAUCUGGGGGAUAGCCCGCCGAAAGGCGGAUUAAUACCGCAUAAAACUGCAGGACGGCAUCGUUCAACAGUUAAAGAUUUAUUGGAUUCGGAUGGGGUUGCGUGCCAUUAGCUAGUUGGGGGGGUAACGGCCCACCAAGGCGACGAUGGCUAGGGGAGCUGAGAGGCUGGUCCCCCACACGGGCACUGAGAUACGGGCCCGACUCCUACGGGAGGCAGCAGUAGGGAAUAUUGGGCAAUGGUCGAGAGACUGACCCAGCCAUGCCGCGUGCAGGAUGAAGGCUUUCUGAGUCGUAAACUGCUUUUGCCAGGGAAAAAAAAAGGGGAUGCGUCCUCUACUGACGGUACCUGGUGAAUAAGCACCGGCUAACUCCGUGCCAGCAGCCGCGGUAAUACGGAGGGUGCAAGCGUUGUCCGGAUUUAUUGGGUUUAAAGGGUGCGUAGGCGGCUUUUUAAGUCUGGGGUGAAAGCCCGUUGCUCAACAACGGAACUGCCCUGGAAACUGGAGAGCUUGAGUACAGACGAGGGUGGCGGAAUGGAUACUGUAGCGGUGAAAUGCAUAGAUAGUAUCCAGAACCCCGAU
rnacentral:rRNA from 1 species